GGUGCUUUGUCUGCAUUCAUUCCUGAAAUUGUAAACCGAAGUGCUACAAAAUGAUCUAGUCGGUUGCCAGCCAAAGCAAGUAGUCGACGCUUGUAGUACAUAUCCAUUGUUUUAGUCACAAAAUGAAACAUUUGAAUGGCAUUAUAAGCCUUCAACCUAUCAAAUAUAAUGUCUUUGGUGAUACGAAUGACUUGCUCCAAAUAGUGGUUGGUAUUGUUUCCACGUGUCAUGAAGUCUUUUCUGAGACAUACACACCAUUCAUCGCGUCUCUCCCAAUACUGCUGCAAGCGUUUUCUAAAUAACUUGUGCUGUUGAACUUUCUCAUUGCAGUCAAUUCAAUUCUUGGCAGCAUAAAGCUGCUCUGAAGUCUUGGCAAACAAUAGGUCUUUGACCAUACUCAUAAAUAGGAGUCGGUCAUUCCUGUCCACCUCAGAUGUGGAAUUCCAUAACCACUGCCAAGUACUUUGUAGAAAAUGAAAUGAACAUAGAAACAAUGUAGCUUGAGGCCAUGUUGCUCUAAGACUUUGCCUUUCACUAGCUGAAUCGUCUGUCAUGAUGCCCAUAGGUCCAAGCUGUGGUCCUCGCCUGAAAAAUGCAUCAGGUGGUAAAAUUGUUUUCAGGAUGCGAAAUGCUUCUGUCAUAGUUGAGACAUCUUCCCCUGAUGUCAUCAGUACUGCUAACGGUAGUGCCCCCACAGCAGUUGCGGCGCUGAUUAUAAAACUGGUGUAUUUAACCUGUCCAAGCUGGCAGUGGCAUCGCAAAACACCAUCUCUCCGGCUUGCUGAACAAGUUUGUGGACUCUUGCCAUAAGAGGUGUGACAAUAGCAAGGACAAAUGGACUUUCUGUUUGCUGUUUAACUUCUUUAGGUUUGCAGUAAUUAAGGAUGGUCUUGGCUGUGGGAAGGUAUGUCUAGCUUACUGUCAGUGUGAGCUGUAUACUGUUGCAUAUGUGCACUUUGCCACCAUCGGCUUCAGUGAAUUUGUUGUGUCAAUUGAUCUCAGCAUUUAGCCUUACAAACAUUGGCAUACCGUUUUCAGCUCCUACUGUCAUAAGCCUCCAACUUCGGAACAAUCUCUGGACAUCCUGAGUGCUGGGAUUGAUUGAACGAUCUGCUAAUACUCUCUCCAUAGCUUGGUUUCCAUCAUAUUCUAGCUGAAGAGACGUGACAUAUUCAUGUCUCGCACUAGAUGCAGAAUUGACAUCUUCAAACAAGUGGACAUAUGCCUUUCUGUCUGUUUCAGAUAUUGGUCUAAUUAAAGCUGAGAGCAUGGCCAGAAUCUAUUGGAUGAUUGUGAUUGAACAACAGUUCACCAAACAUGGAUAUAGUGGAUGUUUCAUGUGUUUGUCUGGUGACAUAAUUGUGACAGAGUGUGUAGAUGGGCAGCCUGUCUUCUUGUCUCUUGUGCUUCUUUCACAUCCUUCUCUGACAUAGCCAAACUUCUUGAUUGGCAUUUUCUUUAUUGGUGUUUUUCUUUUAUGUUGGCAGUGCCGAACAGUUUUGAAAAUGAUUCUUUUCCCUGUUGUGCCAUAUGCAUGCAGUGCCUUUUGUAAUUCGAUAUGUUGUUUUAGUUUUCUCUUCUAGCUGUUGUAUCCAUGUCUGUAUCAACUUGAAGCCAAAAAUGAACUUGAAAAGCACAUGGUGGUGCUGCAAGGAAGGUUUCUAGUUCUAGGUGUUGAAACUUUCAAUGAUGUAUGCACUUGUUUGUGGCAGGUAUUCUUUCAACUGUAAGAAUUGGUCAUUAUGUACUGUGCUUUCAAUAGCCGGAAUAGAGAGACCUGAAGAGCUUUCUAUGCUACUGUUUGCUUGAGAGUCUUUGCAGUGAGAAUGGGAUGUUUCUUUGUAACAGCUUUAUGUUUCUUGAGAGUUGAUUUCCAGAUAUCAGCUGUUUCUUCUGCUUCCUUGUGAUUGGUCAUCAUCUUAAUGUCAAGCUACAAAAUAAAUUUUGUUGCACUCUCGAUGUUUUCUACAAGUGGGUGUCUUUGAGUAAUAUUCAACAAUGGUAUUUUUCUGGUUGAUGCUUUUUCAAGAUGGUUGAAAUCAAUGAGUUGAGACAUUUGAAUGUUGUCAUUCAAAAUCCAUGAAGCCACUGAAAGUCUAAUUCGAGGUAGAGAAGUUGCUGCAGGAUGCCAGGAGACUUGAAACAGUUACAGUAACAAGGCCACAAAUGGAGGCACAAGUUUGGAGGGGAUAGUGCUUACAUAAACAGGAACAGACAUGGCUACCUUGGCUAUCGAAGUUUGUCACAUGGAAGGCCUUCUUUGACAAACACAUUCUUGAUUUUGUGGCAUUUGACAGUGUAUUCAGUACUGGUUUAAAUUCAAUGUCAAUGUUGCUUGG